rnacentral:rRNA from 1 species
GCAAUGCCGCGNGUGUGAAGAAGGCCUUCGGGUUGUAAAGCACUUUUGUCCGGAAAGAAAUCGCGCUGGUUAAUACCUGGCGUGGAUGACGGUACCGGAAGAAUAAGCACCGGCUAACUACGUGCCAGCAGCCGCGGUAAUACGUAGGGUGCGAGCGUUAAUCGGAAUUACUGGGCGUAAAGCGUGCGCAGGCGGUUUUGUAAGACAGGCGUGAAAUCCCCGGGCUUAACCUGGGAAUUGCGCUUGUGACUGCAAGGCUAGAGUGCGUCAGAGGGGGGUAGAAUUCCACGUGUAGCAGUGAAAUGCGUAGAGAUGUGGAGGAAUACCGAUGGCGAAGGCAGCCCCCUGGGACGUGACUGACGCUCAUGCACGAAAGCGUGGGGAGCAAACAGGAUUAGAUACCC